rnacentral:rRNA from 1 species
GACGAACGCUGGCGGCGUGCCUAAUACAUGCAAGUAGAACGCACAGUUUAUACCGUAGCUUGCUACACCAUAGACUGUGAGUUGCGAACGGGUGAGUAACGCGUAGGUAACCUGCCUGGUAGCGGGGGAUAACUAUUGGAAACGAUAGCUAAUACCGCAUAAUAUUAAUUAUUGCAUGAUAAUUAAUUGAAAGGUGCAAUUGCACCACUACCAGAUGGACCUGCGUUGUAUUAGCUAGUAGGUGAGGUAACGGCUCACCUAGGCGACGAUACAUAGCCGACCUGAGAGGGUGAUCGGCCACACUGGGACUGAGACACGGCCCAGACUCCUACGGGAGGCAGCAGUAGGGAAUCUUCGGCAAUGGACGAAAGUCUGACCGAGCAACGCCGCGUGAGUGAAGAAGGUUUUCGGAUCGUAAAGCUCUGUUGUAAGAGAAGAACGGGUGUGAGAGGGAAAGUUC